UAACCACUAGGAGUAUAGCAUCCCAGGAGGAAGAGUCCCUGAGAAGAAAGGCAUGUGUAAUAUUUUACAUUUGGUUAUUCCAUGAGAUUUCUUAAAAUAGCUUUUGCUAAUAAUGAAUAAUUCUGGAAAAAUAUGAUUUUUUACAGGUUCACAAGGGACUUAAAUCAGAACCAUCCACACCACAGGAAAAACGUGAUUGCAGCUUAAUUUUGACACCAAAGCAAAUUCAUCAAGGCCUUCUGUCCUUAACUUCAGUAAUAUUUGUGUGAACUCUCCAAAUACUCGUCUACUUCAUGUUGUUAAUAUGCUACCUAUGCAUGUUUUGCUCCAGUUAGAUACUACUUUAGAAGAACUUCGGAAGACCAACCAAUUUUCAUAUGUGAUUCCACCUACAUCCAGUACUUAUAUUUCGAUGGUAUUUGAAUCUCCCACUGUUGGAAAAUUUUGGAAGUCUUUCACCUUUACAGUGAACAACGUACCCAGUGGACACAUCCUAGUGAUGGCAGUUGUCCAGCUAGUAACACUUGAGCUAUCUUCUAAUGAGCUAGUAUUAAGACCACGAGGCUUCUUCAUGAAAACAUGUUUUCGGGGGACAGUUAGAUUGUAUAAUCAUCAGAAUUGUCGUGCUCAGUUUCAAUGGCAACCCGUAAACACAGGAAGAGGGAUAGCAUUUUCUAUUUGUCCAGCUAAAGGUAAUGGUUUAUUGUUUGUUUGAUUCAGACAUUUAUUUUUUCAUGUAUUCAUGUAUUCUGGUAGUAUUUAUCGAGUGUGUACUGUGUACUGGUACCAAGAGUACAGAAGUAAAUCAGAUACUGUCAUCAGGGGUAUUUAUUUUUACAGACAUAAUAUGAUUUGGAAAUAUGGAACCCUUAUUAGGGUUCUCCAGAGAAACAGACCAACAGGGAGAGAGAGAGACACAGAGAGAGAGAUAAAGAGAGAGACAUUUUAAGGAACUGGUUCUGGCUCACAGGUUGUGUGGUUGUGUGGGCUGGCAAGUUUGAAAUUUGCAGGGCAGGGUGGCAGACUGGAGAUACAGGGAAGAGUUGAUGGUGGAGUCUUGAGUCCAAAGGCAUUCUGGAGGCAGAAUUUAUUAUUCGUUCUGGGACAUCAGUCUUUUCUGUUAAGGCUUUCAAAUAACUGGAUGAGACCCACCCACAUUAUGAAAGGUAAUCUGCAUGUUAAUUACCUGAUUGUGAUCAUUAUUAUAUUAUGUAUGCAUAUCAAAUCAUUAUGUUGUACACCUUGAAUGUAUAUAGUCUUUGUCAAUUAACUGUUUCAAAAAGCCUGCUGAUUUAAG
rnacentral:lncRNA from 1 species